rnacentral:lncRNA from 1 species
CCCAGUGCCCCCAGUCUCACCCCGUGCAGCAGCCGCAGGUUCCCGCUCACCUCCCCCUGGGGGGGGCCAGAGCCGAGACGCGGCACCGCCGCCAGCGCCCGCAGCUCCAGCAACACCUGGACACGGGGACAGCGUCACCAUCACCGUCACCGUCACCAUCACCGUCACCAUCACCAUCACCAUCACCAAGACUGUCACCGUCACCAUCACCGUCACCAUCACCGGCACCAACACCAGCACCGUCACCAUCACCAAGACUGUCACCAUCACCAUGACCGUCACCAUCACCGGCACCAACACCGUCACCAUCACUGUCACCAUCACCGUCACCAUCACCGUCACCAUCACUGUCACCAUCACCGUCACCAGCACCGUCACCAUCACCGGCACCAGCACCGUCACCAUCACCGUCACCAUCACCGUCACCAUCACCGGCACCAGCACCGUCACCAUCACCGUCACCAUCACCAAGACUGUCACCGUCACCAUCACCGUCACCAUCACCGUCACCAUCACCGUCACCAUCACCGUCACCAUCACCGGCACCAGCACCGGCACCAGCACCGUCACUGUCACCAAUUCUUGUUGCCAUGGACACCGCCGUUGUCACCAUCACUGCUUGUCACCAUCACUAUCACAGCUACAACCGCUGUCACCGUCACUGUCACCCAGUGUCAGCUCCCAGUGUCA